GAUCACAUUCAAUUUAUCAAUGUAAUUACCACCCAUAUGUUUGGCAGUGGUCAUCGGGACUUCGAAUGCCCUGUCCUUCGCCUGCCCAACUGUGCCGCAAACCCAGCUGAUCGGAUCCCUCUAUCCCAAAUCCGAGCAGUGAAGAAGCAUCUCGUGCAUCAUGGUCUAUACAAUGAACAGAAUCAUCAAGCCUCUAAAUUAAAAAGCAUCUUCCAUCAGAUGUAUUUGUAUGCAAGGUGGAUCUAUCUCUAGACAUCUCCCUCAGGGAUAUCUACAUCUCCCUCAGGUGGAUCUCAACAUCUAUCUCAGGAUCUCAUCACUAUCUGGAUCCCUCCCUAUAGCUAUCUCAGGAUCUCUUCAACGACUCUCAGGUUCCCCUGUAUCACCAGCUCUACUACCGACAGCAUUACAGCAGCGAAUUAUUCUCUUCUGCUACAACCAGUUGAACAACAAUGGACCGCUGUUUGAUUAACCGCAGAUGAAGUACUCCUGCCUCUAUUCUUUCUUUCUUCUUUCUUUACCUCGCUACAAGUGACACGCGGCCCCUCGCGGACAUCCCUGCCCUGACCCAGUCAGAGGUGGCAGCGGUCAGCAGGUCAGUCGGCCGGACGGCGACGGCGGAUAUUAUGUGUAUCUGGAUAGACCGCAAUAACCCCAGAAACUGGGUAUCUCUUGGAGGUUUACAUAGUAAUACGGGCAUGGGGACACUGGAAAUAGAAACAAACUCUUUGCAGAAGAAUAGGCAUCCACAAGCAGACUUUUUGAUUCAGGUGGUUGUGUUGAUGCGAUGGAAACAGACAGACAGACGGACAAACGGACGGGCAGCUACAUUAUCUGGACUGGACUGGUAUUAAUAUAGAUAUGGACAUAAUAUUGGAUGGCAUAAGGCUCUUAGUAUCGUGUGAAACAUGUGUAGCAAAUUGCAGCACCACCAGACUGGGAACUUGAGGUAGCUGGAGGCAUAUAUGUUCUGUUAUGAAUGGCAUUGGAACUGCAGGGUGUCUCCGUGUCGAGUCGCCCGCUGGUGCCACUGUGUGACUGUGUCUCGUAUACUAACCUGAGUUCUGUUUUGUUUUGAUGUGUUGCAGGAUGGCAGUGACCUGCAGGAAACUGUAUAGACUGCUCCUAACCUCCUCACUCGAAAACUGCCAGGCUGUCCUGACCGCCCUGCACGAUACAGACCUGGGAUGUGACAGUGGCCAGUCCCGUACCAUCAAUCUCUGUGUCCCCAAGUCUGUAUACGACAAGCUUACUAAGCCACCCAACGGCAGCAAAAUCACCGUGUACUACUUCUAAAAGCCUGACUGAUCAGUGCCUCAACCGCUCCGGUGACGGCGGCAGUGUCGGAACUCGACAACAGAUGGCAGCACCGUGUCCCGUCGGCAGCGCUGUUCUGUACACAAUGCACGUCUAGACCUUCAUAUCCAGAAGUGCUUUGAGCCGCCCUGUCCCAUGGGCUCAGGUCCGUGGGUACUUUACCGCCGUGCCAGGCUGGUUUGGGUUGAGUGGCCACCUACUAUGAACGUCAAACCCCUUAAGACCCCACUAUUUUGCGAUAAUUUUUAAAUGCGUCAACUUUCGUUGACAAUAUUCUGGCAAUGUAUGUUUCAGAACCUGCCGAAACUUUUAUUACUAAGGUAUUUUGACGCCAAACGAUUAUGGAAGGUACUUCUCAUUCACUCGUAAUGCUAAGGUCAAAUCAGGCCCGGGGAGAGGCUUGCGCUCGGCCACACUCGAGCCCCGCCACCAGCGCCAUCUGCUCUAAAUGCCAUCUACCAGCGCCCGCUACCGCUACCAGCUACCGCCCACCAUCAAGCCUGAAUGGAGCGAGAGACGCGAGUGACCGGUCGCCGGGCAAGGAGCGCCGGAGGGGUAGGGCGGAGCUUAGCGCUGACGUCAUUACGUGGCUCCGCCCCAUGAGCGGGUAGCCUCUACCCAAACAGCAGAUACGUUCCGUGAAAUUUAACAUUACGAGUGAAUGAGAAGUACCUUUCAUAAUCGUUUGGCGUCAAAAUACCUUAGUAAUAAAAGUUUCGGCAGGUUCUGAAACACUCAUUGCCAGAAUAUUGUCAACGAGAGUUGACGCAUUUACAAAUUAUCGCAAAAAAGUGGGGUCUCAUGGGGUUUGACGUCCAUAGUAAAUGCUUGAUCAUUUGAGCACAGAUUGCUACGUUUGUUGACACUGCUUUGAUAGGUAUAUUCAGUAUCUGAGAUGUAUCACGCUCUGGGCCACUGUCCAGCCGUCGGUAAACCGUUGUCACCGUGCCGGAGGUACCGCCCUGGUGGCGUCACGUGUGUUGUGACGUGACGUCACGCUGGCUCACACCGCUGUGCUGUUGUGGUUGUAGUUUCAGUUUAUACCAUAGAGUCGUUGGAGCUAGCUGUGAGGGUGUCCGGUCCGGGCGAUAUCGGACCUCGCCCGUCACUGUGUCGGACCGUCGGUGGUCCGGUCGGCUGUGGUUGGUUUGGACCGGAUAUGUCCGGUUCGGUGUCGCUCAUGGGAUAUCACGGGCUGAUGGCGAUUGAAAUACACAGUGGUUGAGACGUUCAAUACACAAA